rnacentral:lncRNA from 1 species
UACCUAUUUAUAAAAGGAGAAAAUUUCAGUCUGCACGUACUUUUCUGCCCUGCCUAUCCGUCCGCCAUGUCCCUUUCGGUCUAGAAUCGGCACCGGUACGUUGUAGAGGAGGAAAAAAAGAAUAGAAGCUUUUUUAGGGUUUCCAAUGUAAAAUCUUCUAUACACACUAGAGUAUGUUAAAAAUAAAGAAAGUAUAUGGACAUAAGUGCAAAUCUGUCAACCAAUAUAUCCCGCCCUAUCCACAAUCGGCUACUGUUGGAAGAGCCACAUCCGGCCCGUACAGAGACUGCUGAAAGAAGAAAAAAAAGAACAGAAGAUUUUUUAGGGUUUCUAAUGCAAAAUCUUCUAUAAAAAUUAAUAAAUAUAUAGUACUUCAUAUAAAAAUCUAAAAAUUACAAAAUAAAUUUUGUUCAGC